ensembl:lncRNA
GGAUAUAUUCAGACUGACCCUGUCUCUGUGGUGAAGUAUUCAGCCCAUUUAUCUCUCUUGCAGGUCACAUAUUAACCCCCUCUCUCUGGCAGGUCACAUAUUAACCCCCUCUCUCUGGUACGUAACAUAUUAACCCCCUCUGUCUGGCAGGUAACAUAUUAACCCCCUCUCUCUGGCAGGUAACAUAUUAACCCCCUCUCUCUUGCAGGUAACAUUUUAACCCCCUCUCUCUGGCAGGUAACAUAUUAAACCCCUCUCUCUUGCAGGUAACAUUUUAACCCCCUCUCUCUGGCAGGUAACAUAUUAAACCCCUCUCUCUGGUAGGUAACAUAUUAACCCCCUCUGUCUGGCAGGUAACAUAUUAACCCCCUCUCUCUGGCAGGUAACAUUUUAGGCCCAGGUCUGACAGAAUCUGUGCAGAAGAUCUUGGUGCUGCUUUAGGCCCUCCUUGGUUGGGGACAGAAGCACCAGAUCAUCAGUAGACAUUUGACUUCAGAUUCUAGUAGGGUGAGGCUGGGUGCUGCCGACUGUUCUAGUGCCCUCGCCAAUACCUUGAUAUGUAUGUUGAAGAGGGUGGGGCUUAAGCUGCAUCCCUGUCUCACCCCCGGCCCCGUGGGAAGUAAUUCGUUUUUUUUUGCCAAUUUUAACCACACACUUGUUGUUUGUUUCAGUUGUGUAGCAGGUCCUGAAAGCUUUUUUUGAAAUCAACAAAGCAUGAGAAGGCUUUGCUUUUGUUUUGUCUUGUUUGUUUGUCAAUUAGGGUGUGCAGGGUGAAUACGUGGUCUGUCGUAUGGUAAUUUGGUAAAAAGCCAAUUUGACAUUUGCUCAGUACAUUGUUUUCGCCGAGGAAAUGUAUGAGUCUGCUGUUAAUGGUAAUGCAGAAGAUUUUCCCAAGGUUGCUGUUGACGUAAUUCCCCCCGGUAGUUAUUGGGGUCAAAUUGAACUCCACUUUUGUGGAUUGGGCUGAUCAGUCCUUUGUUCCAAAUACUGGGGAAGAUGCCAGAGCUGAGGAUGAUGUUAAAGAGUUCAAGUGUAGCCAUUUGGAAUUUAUGGUCUAUAUUUUAUCAUUUA